rnacentral:rRNA from 1 species
UACGUAGGGUGCAAGCGUUGUCCGGAAUUAUUGGGCGUAAAGAGCUCGUAGGUGGUCUGUUGCGUCGGCUGUGAAAACCCGAGGCUCAACCUCGGGCCUGCAGCCGAUACGGGCAGACUAGAGUUCGGCAGGGGAGACUGGAAUUCCUGGUGUAGCGGUGAAAUGCGCAGAUAUCAGGAGGAACACCGGUGGCGAAGGCGGGUCUCUGGGCCGAUACUGACACUGAGGAGCGAAAGCGUGGGGAGUGAACAGG